UAUGGAUGGGAUGCAGAAUCCCAGAAGUACGGCACCAUGCACUCUGCUGCAGCUGCUGCCGAGAAUGGGACAGCCACAGGGACACAUACCAACAAGGAACUUCAGCGACACCUGUGGAGAGAACCUGAGCCACUGCCUUUUUGUCGAACCCUAAGAGAAUGCCACCGCUGUGCUGCCAGCAUCUAGGCUCAAUCCGGACCUCUCUCUGGGAAGGUUGUGGCAUCCUGGUCGAGCCAUCAGACCCUUGACCGGCCAUCAUAACAAGUGGCGCCCCAAACUCCAUGUGGACCACCCUCAGUUGGAAGUCUCUGGAGAGAGCGGCGUCCCGCACAGUGUGGGAAUGAUCCACCUCAAUUCAUCAUUCCUCUGAAGCUACCCCCUGCGUUCUAGCAGAGAAUAUCCAAAGAGGCAUUCUGAGACCCUUGACCUCACCACCUGGGAGAAGAAACCCUGAGGAUCAGAAUACAGAGGCUGACCACCAAACCAACUUUCUUUUGACCCAUCCAGCCAGAGUGGUAAGGGGAAAACUGAGAUCCAGAGCAAAAAUCUUAUCAGUCGAGUGCUGGAGACUAAACAAAGUACCUUGCAGCGCCAUAGCAGUCAAGUUAUCAAGGUGGGACACUUUUAAAGGGAGAUACGCGGCUCGAGCCAGGAACGAUACCUGUGAAGGAUCUUCCUGCUGUCAAGAAGAUGGUUUUCCCAGCUACUGGAGGCACUCCAGUGGGCAUAGGCAGAGGCAGAGGAAUGAAACUAGGGGAAGUCUUGACGAGCCUGAGUCUAGUCAUGUGCCUCAAGAUUAGCACCCACUCACACAGCUUGAGAGAACGGGUCUCCAGCAACGAGUGUGGACUGUGCAUGCGAACCAUCCUGGAUGGACGGGGCAAAGUGGAAGCUUCGACCCACCCAGCCUUGGGAAAUUGCGAAGAAGGUAGAAGAGGCAGGUACUGUUUCUUCAACUACACCCAAUAAAUGGAAAGAUGUGCUACUUGAAAGAGGCAGCAUCUAAGAUUGGAGAGUCAGAGCAUGCCCGACACAAA